UGGGGAAUAUUGGACAAUGGGGGCAACCCUGAUCCAGCAACGCCGCGUGAAGGAUGAAGGCCUUCGGGUCGUAAACUUCUUUUAUAGGGGACGAAUCCGUUCGUGAAUAACGAACAAUGACGGUACCCUGUGAAUAAGCCACGGCUAACUACGUGCCAGCAGCCGCGGUAAUACGUAGGUGGCAAGCGUUACUCGGAAUUACUAGGCGUAAAGCGCAGGUAGGUGGUUCGUUAAGUCUGAUGUGAAAGCCCUAGGCUCAACCUGGGAAUUGCAUUGGAUACUGGCGAGCUAGAGUGCGGUAGAGGAUAGUGGAAUUCCCGGUGUAGCAGUGAAAUGCGUAGAGAUCGGGAGGAACAGUCUGUGGCGAAGGCGACUAUCUGGGCCAGCACUGACACUGAGGCACGAAAGCGUGGGGAGCAAACAGGAUUAGAUACCCUCGUAGUCCCUGAGCGGGCUGGCAAGGCGCAU
rnacentral:rRNA from 1 species